rnacentral:rRNA from 1 species
UACGUAGGGUGCAAGCGUUGUCCGGAUUUACUGGGCGUAAAGAGCGCGUAGGCGGAAGCUUAAGCGGUGCCUGAAAGCCCCCGGCUCAACCGGGGAGGGUGGUGCCGAACUGGGCUUCUUGAGGGCGAUAGAGGAGAGUGGAAUUCCGGGUGUAGCGGUGAAAUGCGUAGAGAUCCGGAGGAACACCAGUGGCGCAGGCGGCUCUCUGGGUCGGCCCUGACGCUGAGGCGCGAAAGCGUGGAGAGCGAACGGG